CGCAUGUGUCGAAGCUUCCGGUAUCAGAGGACCAUCACUAUCUGGUAGCGUCUCUGGCUGCUGUUGACCUUGUUUUUGGUGUAAAACACGGUGGAAGCUGAAUUAGUGAGGAUGACUCCUGCUCCUGUCAUCUCUAAGCUCCUCACACAUCUUUACCUGCACAUGAGGAAAAUCACUCCUGUAGAAUGCAGUGGUUCAUCAGAACCUCUGGGGAUGUCCUGUGGAUUCUGUGGAUCCUGUGGGUUGCAGGGUGGGUCCUACCUAGACCAGGCUGAUCCUGGACCAUCCCACAGACGCUCAAUCAGAUGUGGAUGUGGGGAGUGUGGAACCCAGAUGUUCAGAGGGAGAUGAUGCCACAUCUGGUCCAGCUGAUGGAAGGUCUUGAAGUUCUCUGACUGGCCUCGACUGAAGAUAGUCGUCUCACUGGAUUUAAGGUUCAGAUGCUCAGUAACAAACUCCACCAAUGAGCCAACAGGGAAGCUUUAGGUUUAUUAAAUGUUGCUAUGAAAGUUUCGCUGUUUUUCUUUGUGAAUGCAAUGUGCUCCAACUGAAACUUGAAUUAGAACUUAGAAGUAAAUCCUUCCAUCUGAAAGGAUUUAGUUGCAUUAAUAACCUCAUAACAUUCUAAUUUUUAUUCCAGUCUUAGUUGGAAAUAGAAUCUCUGUAUUGAUUCAGGUAAAAACUGAACUUCACAGCAUGUUGAAGCAAAACAACCAGAUGAAAACUGUGAUGGUGUUGGAUUGUCAGACCGUAUUGUUGCAGCUCAAAGCAGCUUUUCUAUCUCAGUUCAUUCUGACAUUCAGCUAUGAAUCAACACAGCAGAUGGUGAUCCAUGCUGUGGAAGUCUCACAUCUCCUGAUUUAAUGGAGCUGCUUUGCACUUUUUACACUGUUUAUUCACCAACACUUUAUUUAAUAAAAGUCCCAUCUAGUUUUUAUGAGGAAUGUGAUGUUUUAAUUUCUCUGUGAAUAACUGCAGUCUAAUGCAACAGCUGGAGUUGUAACAUCUGUCCUGAUAUUGAUCAUGAAGUAUUGAUCAGAAUACUUAUGGUUAGCAGUCAUCCCUGAAGUUUUACAUUAAAAUCUUUACUUGUGUUGUGAACUUUGGUAAGAAGCAGAAACGUUAGCGUUGCCAUGGAUACAUGAGUGUUAAAUUCUGUCCAUGUUUCCAUUUUGGGAAAUUCAGUCCAGUUCCAGAAUGUGGAGGAAUUUAGUCUCACAAUCACAGACAAUAAAUAUUAUCUGAAAGUCGGGUUAUUGUUGUUUAUCAGCACAAUAUAAAAAGAUUAAUGGUAGAAAUAUUCCAGUUAAGACUCUAGAAUAUCAUGAUUUAUGUAAAUUUACUUCAAUAAUAUGAAUGUUCAGGUUAAGAUUGUACAGUGAUAUUUAUUAUGUAAGUUUAGCUGAUUAAAGUUUAUGACUCUGCACUAAAACAUUAUUUAAAUUGACAUCAUUAUUAUAAUAUUUAGGGUCAGACCCUACAGUAUUGAGAUUAAGAAAUCAAAUAUUGUAUAAAAUGUAAAUACACUGAACUCAUUUGGAUAUAUUUAAGUGAGACUCUACAAUAGUAUUUGACACAAAUCUAUCUAAAUCAAAAUUUUAAUAAUUUUCACGCCAAACAUUUACUGGACUGAUUUAAACAUUAAAAUCACCCCUUUCUAAUCCUCUGCUGUACGUUCAAACCUGAGGCCUUAAAUAGAAACACACAAGUAUCUGAUUGAAGGAACUUCUGCAGAGUCCUGGUUCCAGAACAUGAUGAUAGAAUUAUAGACAAACUUUAACAAAAGCUGCCUGAGAGUUUACAGGUUUUUAUGUUGGAUUUCUUCAGUAAUUUAAUGAGAGUUAUCAGCAAUAAUCAAGUGUUCAUUUGAUGAACUUCAUUUCCUAAAACAUCCAGAAUUGGAGCUCAUAUCUUUGGCAGCUGUAAAGUUUCUGCUCCUUCAAAGUUCACAACACAAUGAAUGAAUUCCUAAAACACUCUCAAUGCUGGAGAGCGUUUGUGAUGCUGAAGCAGUGACCAGUUUUUCUGUUUCUUCUCUGGAGAUGCACAAUGAGGGACGUCUGCAGAGACUGAGAAAGAGUCUCACCACAUCCUGACAUGAGGAAAAAGACUUUAUUGAAGACUACAAUGAGAAAAACUAUCAGACAGCAGACAGCUGCAUUCAAGGCUACAGGAGGAGCCCUACGAGUACGAGCCGGUCCACCUGAUGGCGGCCAGUCGCUGUGGUUCAAAGCCAACACCGACUACGUGGACUUCUACUGGACCACACGGAGGCCUUCAAACCGGACCAACAAGUUCACCGACUCCCCGACUCGUGGGUCUGAGGACGCCGCCGAGCCUCGGUCCAGCCGGCCUCCUGUCUGUGGGUGUUUGAGUGCUGAGAGGUUUGUGGAUGCAUGUGAACGUGUCUGUGUUGAAACAGCAGCUUUUGACUCAGUAACGCUGGGAAAAACCAAGAGCUCCUUUAUUUGUGACUUCCACUAAAAAACUGAUGAAAAUAAGUUUGCCAGGGUUCUGACUGAUAACAGAUUAUUAAAUAAUGAAAAUAACUGUUUAAAUAUUCCUUUAAACAAUCCUUUUAGGUCUACAUUUCCUUUACACUGACUUCUUGGUAUUUUGGGUGGAAUAUAUCAUCAGACUAACCUCCAAGGUCUACAGUCGUGAAUUUUAUGUCGAAUGUACCAUUAAACUCACCUUUUAGGUCUACAUUGGAGGAUUUUAGGUGGAAUUCUCUUCCAAACUGUCUUUUAGUCUACAUUUAAGGAUGUUUAGGAUGGUAUAUUCUUCCGAACCAACUUCUCAGGUCUACAUUUCAGGUGGAAUAUUCCUCCAUACUAACUUUUUUGGUCUACACUGAAGGAUUUUUUCUAAACAACCCUUUCGGGUCUAUAUUUGAGGUUUUAGGUGGAAUAUUCCUUUUAACCAGCCCCUCAGGUCUCUUUGAGGAUUUUGGAUGGAAUACUCGGUUAAAGCAACAUUUUAGGUGCAUGUCCAAGGGUUUUUGGUAGAAUGUUCCUUUAAGGUGGAUGUUUGAGGACCUUGUAGGUGGAAUACUUCCUGAAACCAACCUUUUAGGUCAACAUUCAAAGAUUUAAGGUGGAAUAUUCCUUUAAACCAACCUAAAUUUCAUGUUUUGAUCGUUAUCAAGUGAGAAACCUCAAUCCAGACUCCUCAUAAUGACAUUUGAGAUUUAUGCUGCUGUUAUUUGUUUAGUCCAGACUAAAUGACAGAAAUCCACAACUGUAAUUUUAUUUCAGGACUCAGUUAUUAAAUUCAAUUCAAUUCAAUUUUAUUUAUAUAGCGCCAAUUACAGUCAAAUUGUCUCGAGACGCUUUACAGAACCAAUAUGCCUGACCUCCAGAGCAAGCCAAAAGGUGACAGUGGCAAGGAAAACACCCUUUUAACAGGGAAAAAAACCUCGAGCAGAACCCGGCUCUAAUGUGGGGGGACCCAUCUGCCUGCUGACCGGGCGGGUUGAGAGGGACAGAAGAGGUAGAGGGGAAGACAAAACAAUCCAUGUGACUCUAAAAACUAAACAGCUGUACAAACUCUAAGAUUAAACUCUCCACAAGGAGCCAAAAUAAGUUGGACUUCUACAUGAGAGCUUUAAUUAUUCUUCAUCUACUUCCUGAAAAAUUUGGUCAAUAAAAAAGGCAAAAACUAAUAUUUUCAGCUGAACGAAAGACAGACUGUGAUUUUUCUGCUCACAUGUGUUGUUGUAAACUUGCUCUUUCAAAUAAAUAGCCGCCUAACCCCCUGGAAACCAGCGUUUGUCCUGUUUUUGUGUUGCUCCUCAGUGACCCUAGACAGCCGGGUCGUAAUGUUUUUUGAGCAACACACCAUACUAUGACGUUUUUACAAUGAUGGUUCUACUAUGAAACCAGUUUGACAUGUUCAGGUGUUCUUUGUGUGAAAACUCAGAGAUUUCAGGUAUCAGAAGGUGGUUUUCAACUUUCUUUGUUAACUUUCUGCUUCAACUUUAAAUUAAAUUUCCUUCACUAACCCAGCCCUCUGGACUUCCAGGAAGCUGUGUUCUUAUUGGCUGUCCAGGUGGCUGCUUGGUGUUAUCAGGAACACCUGAGCAGCUCAGUGUCUUCCUGCUUUAUUUAGCUGCAGACAAACAUUUCCUCUGCUUCUAUUCACCACUGAAUCAGGUUUAGCGCCAUUGCUUCAGUUUGUUCUUUAGGUGUUGGCUUGCAGCUUCCAGCAGUAAAAUCGUCUUUAAUGUGUUUCUUGGUGUGUUUUAUGGCUUUGUACUGGAUAGUUGUCUUGGUAAAUGUGGUUCUUUAGCCACAGUUAGCACAUGGUCCUAAUGUGUGCAGUGAUUAGUGGAUUUGGUGCAGCUGAGUUGUGUCUUUAUCUUGGCUGUAGUGAGUCUUUAGAGGUUUUUGGUCAGACACAUUCUGUAUUCUUGUUUGAGAACCAAUGUUGGUUGUCCAGAAGGUAAGAGUUCCUGUCCUGAUUCUCUGUUCUCAGAGGUUCUCUGGUAGGCUGCAGGAGAGUUUAGUGUUUGGGUUGUGCUAGUUUGGUUUUUGUACGAUUUCAUUUGGACGACUAUCUUGAGGCCCCUCCAUGUGGUUUAGUGAGGUUUUCUGCGACAGUUCUACAAAGCAACCUGCAGCAGAAGAGACUUUGAGAGUUUUUAGGAAGUUCUGGAGACCAGACUUUAGAGCAGCAGAAACAUUUGUCAGCAGUUUGAGCAGGAGAAGGUGAUCUUCAGAGUAGAAAUGAGACAGAAACCUUCUUGACCCGUGUGGUGAGGUCCUGUACCAAGAGUUUGAGCAGGUUGUGAAGAGUCUGUAGUUCUUUGGUCUGAAAGCACAAGAAGAGUCGACUCAUUAAAGGAAAAAACAGGAGAUAUUGUUGGUUCUUCUGUCGCUCUGCAGUUUCCUUAGACUGAAUAUCAAGUUUAUAUGUUAAAUGAUUUCCCAUGUGAGCCC
ensembl:lncRNA